AAAAAAAAAAAAAAGAAAUAAGUAAAAGUACUCAAUAUUUGAGUGUUGACAGUAUUGGAAACAAGGUAUUAAUUAAAAAUCAACGCACAAAGUGUGAUUUAGUGAUGACCCCUAUCAAGUUAUAAGAAGUUAGAAAAGUAGUUAGCCUCUUAACAAGUUGGAAUUUUUCUAGAGUAUGGAAUAAAAUUCAUUGAAGGAUUUAGUUUAGGGGAGGAA
rnacentral:lncRNA from 1 species